rnacentral:rRNA from 1 species
CAGCAGCCGCGGUAAUACGUAGGGUGCGAGCGUUAAUCGGAAUUACUGGGCGUAAAGCGUGCGCAGGCGGUUAUGUAAGACAGUUGUGAAAUCCCCGGGCUCAACCUGGGAACUGCAUCUGUGACUGCAUAGCUAGAGUACGGUAGAGGGGGAUGGAAUUCCGCGUGUAGCAGUGAAAUGCGUAGAUAUGCGGAGGAACACCGAUGGCGAAGGCAAUCCCCUGGACCUGUACUGACGCUCAUGCACGAAAGCGUGGGGAGCAAACAGGAUUAGAUACCCCCGUAGUCCCUGUCUCUUAUAC